AAGGCCUAGAACCUGACAGAGCACACAAGACAGAAGCCCAAAUAACCAGGAACAGGAAGCUGAAGGUCCCCUUCUAGAUCCCUCAUGGGAAAUACACUCAGUUGCUGCCUAGGCCCCAGGGCUGGCCUCUGUUGUGCCUGCUGCAGGCAGAAGGUGGCACCUUGCUGUGAAUCUGAGACUGAGUCUGUGGCAGCUGCAGCACCAGCAUCCACCACUGCAGAGCCUGCCACCAACACAAAGAGGCGCAAAGGUAAAGAAGCCACGGGUGCCAUUUGCUCUCUGGCACAUCUCUGGCCACCACCUCCCCCGCCUGCUUCCCAUCCCAUCACCCCAGAGACAUCCUCAGCUUCCAGCUCCCCGCUGCCUAUAGCCAGCUUUCCUAGGACUGGGCAUGGGGGACAAAGGCUAGUCCUGCCUCUUGUCUUUGUUGUUGAGCCUUCUUGCUUGAGGCCUUUUUGGUCUAGUCUCUCCCUUUCCUCGAUGAAAAUUCAAAUACUCCAGUUUGGGAGCCUCCAUCCCAUCCUCUAGCCUGACCUAUCCAGCUAGUAUGGUACCUCAGUGAAGGAGCCGGUUAAAGGCCCAAUCGUUUCUUUUCUCCUAUUCGAUAAGGAAGCUAAUCAUUGGGAUAAUUCAGACUCAAAUAUUUGGAGACUUCUAAAAUUUAAAAUAGAGUUUGCCAUGGAAGAGAUUACAUGUUGUUCUUAAUAGAUGGUUUUAAGUCACCUUGACAGAAGCAGCUUGAUUUCUUCCAAUUGUAAUUUGAAAACCGAAGGAAAACUUGAGGGACAUGCUU